UACGUAGGGGGCUAGCGUUGUCCGGAAUCAUUGGCGUAAAGCGCGUGUAGGCGGCCGGUAAGUCCGCUGUGAAGUCGGGGGCUCAACCCUCGAAAGCCGGUGGAUACUGUCGGGCUCGAGUACGGAAGAGGCGAGUGGAAUUCCUGGUGUAGCGGUGAAAUGCGCAGAUAUCAGGAGGAACACCAAUUGCGAAGGCAGCUCGCUGGGACGUUACUGACGCUGAGACGCGAAAGCGUGGGAGCAAACAGG
rnacentral:rRNA from 1 species